rnacentral:tRNA from 1 species
GCCUAGUUAGCUUAGUUGGUAGUGCGUCUGCCUUGUAAGGCGACGCUAGGCCGCGGGUUCGAUUCCCGCACGGGCG